rnacentral:hammerhead_ribozyme from 1 species
AUCCAGCUGACGAGUCCUAAAUAGGAUGAAACACGCGUCCUGGAU